rnacentral:rRNA from 1 species
AUGCUUCAUACAAAGUUCCCUGAUGUUGAGUUUCCCAUAUUUUUCAUGCUUCCUACAUUCUUGUUGUUACUGUGUGCAACAAAUAAGCAUUCUUAUUUCUUAUGUCUUGCUUCCAUACAUGUAUUUUCAUCAUAUAGUGAACGUAUGCUCAUUAAAUGUAUGCAUCCAAAUCAUGCCCGGCAAGAUCUUGCGUGGCAACAUCAAAUAACAAUGCUUCUUACUUUUUAUUUCUCACAUAUGUUUCUAUGUGCGUCUAGUUCAAAGAUGACGAGUCGAGAUUGCACAGUGAAUUCCAUGGCAAAAACAUUCAAGUAUACAACUGCAUGGACGACCAAGGGCAUCUCAGCUUCUACCCGUCGGCUUUGUGGAUCACACCUUCCAUCACAUAACGGCUAG